rnacentral:rRNA from 1 species
UGGCGGACGGGUGAGUAACGCGUGGGUAACCUGCCUCAUACAGGGGGAUAACGGUUAGAAAUGACUGCUAAUACCGCGUAAGCGCACAGUACCGCAUGGUACGGUGUGAAAAACUCCGGUGGUAUGAGAUGGACCCGCGUCUGAUUAGCUAGUUGGUGGGGUAACGGCCCACCAAGGCGACGAUCAGUAGCCGACCUGAGAGGGUGACCGGCCACAUUGGGACUGAGACACGGCCCAG